GACGAACGCUGGCGGCGUGCUUAACACAUGCAAGUCGAACGAAGAGCGACGGAAGCUUGCUUCUAUCAAUCUUAGUGGCGAACGGGUGAGUAACGCGUAAUCAACCUGCCCUUCAGAGGGGGACAACAGUUGGAAACGACUGCUAAUACCGCAUACGAUCUAAUCUCGGCAUCGAGGAUGGAUGAAAGGUGGCCUCUACAUGUAAGCUAUCACUGAAGGAGGGGAUUGCGUCUGAUUAGCUAGUUGGAGGGGUAACGGCCCACCAAGGCGAUGAUCAGUAGCCGGUCUGAGAGGAUGAACGGCCACAUUGGGACUGAGACACGGCCCAGACUCCUACGGGAGGCAGCAGUGGGGAAUCUUCCGCAAUGGACGAAAGUCUGACGGAGCAACGCCGCGGGAGUGAUGACGGCCUUCGGGUUGUAAAGCUCUGUUAAUCGGGACGAAAGGCCUUCUUGCGAAUAGUGAGAAGGAUUGACGGUACCGGAAUAGAAAGCCACGGCUAACUACGUG
rnacentral:rRNA from 1 species